CCUGCCCCUAGAGGUGUUGCAGGUGUGGCUGCUGUGUCACAUGUGUGUCAGUAGGUGGCAGAAAGGAAAGAGGCUAUAUCUCUGCUUACUGUUCUGACCUAUGAACAUCUAAAUUAGUGUGAUGGUUUGUAUA